CAAAAAUAAUUUUUGCCAUAAACUAUCCAGUGGCACACUGUUGUUAGUAACAGAUAAGACAAUGGUAUUCUGACGUUCAGCAAGAAGGAAAUCACUGGGAUAACUACGUAUUAUAAAUUCUUUGUUUCCAGUUCCAUAAAAUGUAUACCACCAAAAAGAAAAAUUCUGACUGCAGGGAAGCAGUACACUCUGUAGACCCCGGAGAAAAAUAAAUCACCAUGAGAUUUGACAACAAUCAAUUUUUCACUGCACGCUAAUCAAGCAGAUAGAAAGAAGGCCAUGGUAUUGGAGCAAUGGAUGCCCCUGAAAGAAGAAUAUGUAGAAGAGAGGACUCAUGUCAGGAAAAAGAUGAAGACGCCUUUGCCAAAAUUAUAUCAGUGAGAAAAAUUAUGAGAGUAAAGUAAGCUAACCUACCCUCAUCUUGCCUUUCCCUUAAUUAUUCCUGGGCUAUUGGGCAAAGCUAACUUUGUAAAACAUUUAGGCUGUAGUUUAAAAGAUAAUAGGCCUUGCCAGGAAACUCAACAGUUUUGUAAAGCUAAUGGGGAGCCAUCAGGCUGAUGGGACGAGAGAAUCCUGAGUCCUGCUAAAGUGCAGACUUAUAUAAACGAUUAUCAGCCAUUAUUCGGGAAGUUAUAAGAUAUGCGACUUCCCCAAUUAUUCCUGCAAAUAACAUCACUGUUGUAGAUUGGUCUUUUGAGAUAUCUUUUCAGGUUUUUUGCGUGUCUGACAAACAUGGCUCCACCUAGACCCGUCAACUCUGCUCCUGUGGCCCCACUUAGAGGCAAGUCAGCCUGCAGGAGGACAGCUUUGACCCCUUAUGAUGUCAUCUCAGCCCCAACCAAUCAGCAGCAAUUACCUGGCCUUCCUCACCAAUUACCAAUCAGACCAUUACCUGGCCUUCCCCACCCCUUCCUUCAAACUGCUUUUGAAAAACCCCUAACCUAUGAGCUUUGGACAAGAUGAUUGGAGUAUGAACUCUGUCUCCCCUGUGACAUGGUUGGGCUCGUGUCUAUUAAACUCUUUCUCUACUGUGAUGCUGUAGUCCUUCAU
rnacentral:lncRNA from 10 species